GUCUACGGCCAUACCACUUUGAACAUGCCUAAUCUUGCCUGAUCUUGAAAGCUUAGCAGGGUUAGGCCUAGUUAGUACUUGGAUGGGAAACCACCUAGGAAUAUCAUGUGUUGUAGGCU
ensembl:rRNA 5S_rRNA 5S ribosomal RNA